rnacentral:tRNA from 1 species
GCAAGGAUGGUGGAAUUGGUAGACACGCUACUUUGAGGGGGUAGUUGGCUUAGCCAGUGAGGGUUCGAGUCCCUUUCCUUGUA